rnacentral:rRNA from 1 species
UAUUGGGCAAUGCCCGCAAGGGUGACCCAGCAACGCCGCGUGGAGGAUGAAUGUCGUAAGGUUGUAAACUCCUGUUAGAGGGGAAGAAUAGUACCGGUUGGACCGGUAUAUGACUGUACCCUCAGAGAAAGCCCCGGCUAACUACGUGCCAGCAGCCGCGGUAAUACGUAGGGGGCAUGCGUUGUCCGGAUUUACUGGGUGUAAAGGGCGCGCAGGCGGAAUGGAAAGUCAGUGGUGAAAUCCUACAGCUUAACUGUAGAACUGCCUUUGAU